UACCUUGUAAGCGGUAGAUUUAGG
rnacentral:piRNA from 1 species